UUCUCUCAAGGGCACUUUCCCACCUGUCUCUUCUCCAUUCUCGCUUUAACUGCCUCUGAUCCUCAUUCUCACCCUCCUACACAAUGGCAAUGAUUCUCUGACUCAUCGCCCCCUUUCCCAGCUCUAAAAUGAGAAUGACAAUGCCUACUUCUUAACAUGUUGAGAACUAACUGAUAUAGCAGAAGGUAUUAGCACUGUGCUUAGCACAUUGUAAGAAUUCAACAAAAUGAAACUGUAUCUUUCAUUUUCCUGGAUCUAGCUUCAGCCAGCCAGGCUUUCUCUGCUCUCAUAAGCACAGCCUUCCCAAGCUUCUCAAUGGGCAUAACCCUUUCCUGCAUCAGUCCCUUAGCUGGCAUUCUUCCCUGCCCAUCCCAAGCCCUCCCACCAUCACUCUCAGCACUGCUUACAAUCCCAAGCCUCUUUCAAGAGGUCCUAUGAUCAGCUCCUUACUGAAUUCACAUGGCGCCUACUUAUGUAUCACUUUUGCGACACUUAGACAUGACUGGGGAUUCUAGUUUCUUGCGAACUUGCUUUUCCCCUGGUCCCCAAUCUGUGAGACACCUGGGGCUGGCUCGAGUCCUCCUCUGAAGACAGGGCUCCUUUACAGGUGGUCUUCUCUCAAUGGCUCCACCCCUGGGAGUUUCAGCAACCCCACCCCCCAUUUGCAGUCUCCUCUGCUGCCACCCCACCAUUCUUCAUACUUCCCGACACCUCACCCUCACCCUUGUAAAAGAUUCCGUUGUCAGUGAACCCUCCUAACGGUGUCAGGAUCCUGGCCGAAACCCACACCAACGGCGAAAUAAGGUAAAGUUCUUUACUCUUCAUGGGCCUUUACCCUUUGUGGAUUCAAGGUCACAAGAGGCACUCCCACUGCACCACCCAACUCCUGGGAAAAAUCCCACUCUGAUUGUCAGUGUGUCAUUAGACACACCAAACACUGUUUACUGGGGAACAGCCAGGGUGCCACUAGCCAUGAUCCAGGGCUGUGCAGGAGCUGGAAACAGCCAAGGAGAGGGAGCCCCACCCAACCCACCCAGAUGAUAGCAGUGUAUGGGAGAUCUCCACAGAGGGCUUUAUCCUCCCUAGGACCAAGAGGCAUCACUUUGGCAUCAUGAUUACAAAAACUGAAAUGGUUAUGCACGCCCUGCAGGGGUCUGGGAACCCUUCUAAGCCUCAGAACUGUCUCUUCAACCAACGUGACUCACUGGCUGACCAAUGACUACACAGAAGUAUAUCCAGACCAUAGACUCCUCCUCAAUCAGUCAGCCUAGAAUGAGGUUCACUCCUAUGCCCCAACGUGGAAGGCUGUCCAUGGUAUUUUUUUUAAUUAAAGUAUAAUUGAUUUACAAAUUUAUAUUAGUUUCAGGGGUACAGCAUAGUGUCAGUAUCUUUACUCCACUAAUGUCCUUGAUAUAAUUUUAAGGGGAGGGGGAAUAAAUUACAGAACAGUUUAUAUAGUGUCAUUCCAUUUUUGUAAAAUAUAAAAUUAUGUAUAUAUGUUUGUGGAUGCUCCUGAUAGUGUCUGCAAAGAAAAGCACACACUGUUAACCCCACCCCACCCCAGGAAAGAUGGGUGGGAAUUUUUACCCAUAAAGUGUUUUUUAAAAAAGGUUUGUUGAUUCUGCAGGGUUUUUUUUUUUUUCAAAAUUUUAAAUCCCGAACAUCCUUUAUUCAGCAGGAGUUAUCUCUGCAAAUCAACAAUAGGACCAAUAGGCAGCUUUUGCUUUUUUCCAGCAGCGUUCACCUCUUCCACAGCAAUGGAAAGUGUUUGCCAGGUUGCAGAAAUCUCAGCUCCCAGCACUGUGGGCCUAGUGUCGGCCUAGGGGGCGCUGCAGAGUCUGCGCACCCAGCAAAGCAAGCGGAACUUGCUGUUCCAGGUGAGAGGCUGGGAGAGGCAGAUGGGGUCUAACCACCCUCUAGACCUGCCAGUCGCUUCCUUCCCUCUUGGCCCCUCAGUCCCUACCAUUUCCAUCAGGAGGUGGAAGAAUGAGGAUUCCCGAAGUCCCCAUCACAUACAGAAGAUAAGUGGAUUUGGAGUUCCAUUGUGGCUCAGUGGGUUAAGGAUCUGGCUCAGUGGGUUAACCAGGCGCUCUGGUUACUGCAGUGACUGGGUUCGAUCCCUGGACCAGGAACUUCCGCGGCCAAAAUAAUAAUAAUAAUUAGAAAAGCAGGUUUGUGUUACUUUCCCCUUAGAUAUAAUGCUCAGGAAACAGGCAAAUGACAGGUGAGGCAAUCAUGCCAGAAUGGGGACAGGGUGGCCGGCGUGCCCAAGAAGCCCCUCCCCCCACCACACCCACUCGCUCACCCUCACCCUCCAGGCUGCAGGAUGCCCGCCUGCUUGCCGCGCUAGCAAGGGCUCGACCCUGCUCAACGAUGCUGCGCUCUUGAUUUCCUCUUUGGAAGUCAGACUUCGUUUCCAGAGCGGGGCAAGGAAUGCCUAAGGAACUAAGUCCGAAUCGCAUAGAAUAAGGCGAUAGAAGUUGCCGCGAAGAGGAACCCCAGAGCAUAGCUCCUCCGUGCCAGGGCUGGACCUAGAGCUGCCCAGGGCAGAGGAAGCUCCCGGCUGACCGCCUGAGUCCAUCCUCUCCAAGGAUCUCCUAUACCAGGAUCUCUCGGAGAGCUGCGGGUGCACCUGUUCUGGCAGCCUGGGGCUUGGACCUGCACUGCAUGCCUGCUUCUGUGACUCCCAUUUUCUCACAGGGUGCGCUGCAGUGCCCAGGAGCUGAUGAAACAGCAAGGAAGCGGGUUAUGAGAUCCCAGACAAGGAUCCUGGCCUCCCUUAGGUUCCGGGAGUAGAAGAGUGAGGGUGAGAGACAGACGAUGGAGACUGAAGGUAAGAACGCAUUCCGCACGAAUGGACAGCAUCAUGGGUGGCGCAGGUGGCGAUGGUUCUAGGGGCAGAGCAGUUGCAGGACACUGGAAGAGCGCAGAAGAUAAGGCUCACACCCAGUCCCUGGAGCAAGCAAUGGGAGAAGGGGGCCACAGAUGUCGCAGGGUCCCUGGAGGAGCAGCAGAAGCCUCUGAAUCCGCACUCCGGAGUUUCACCUGGGGGCGCAUGGUGGCGGAGCCUGGUCACUCUCCAAGAAGGGCUGAGAGGACCACCAGCCUCCAUCAGAGGCGACAGGGAGACAACCUUGGAGUCGACCAUGGCAUGCCCUUGGUGCAGGCAGGCCUUGGCGCGCUUGCCCCAGUUGAGAUCAGCAACGGAAGCAUGCGGCCCCUCGAGCACCGCCAGGUCAGCGGCAGGAACGCCACGGACUUGUACAGAGACCCUCGGCGGGGACACUAAGCAGAAACUCUCACAAGGUGCCGUCUCCAGGCUGCAGGAGGACCACGAGGUCUCAGAGAAAGGCACCAGGCACCCAGCGGCUUGCACGCGGGUACAGGGGCAAGUCCCUGGGGGAGCUUACCCUUGCCGGGGUGGGAGGCAUGAGUGGCAGCGCUAGAGGUGAUGGCGCAGGGCCCAGUCUCCCCCAGCUCCUCCCCACCCUCACUCCUGGGUCCCUGGGGCUCUCUGCAGGCCUGUGACCCUCCUCCUCCACUCAGAACCUCACCACGUUUGCAGUACACCUGCUGUGCUGGGCAAAAAGCCCCUGAUGAAGCCAGGUCAGCAAAAAGACAGUGCCUUCUGGCCAGGUUUGUUGGCUUUGGCUCAGCUAAAUGCAUGUGGAGAUUGCUUAUUAUUAGACUCACUCUAAGCUUUUAAAAGACUCCAGAUGCCAGAAAAUAACGUUUUUUGUGGAAAUACCCAGAAGCUUUGUAAUUCUAUCACAGGAAGAAACGGGGGGUUGCUGGAGGAGACUGAGGUGAGAAGGAAAUAGGGAUAAACAGAGGUUUGUCCUAAAGAAACAAUUAUAGCAGUUGAAAGCACUUGCAAGCGCUCCCGUUUUCCACCUGUGAUGGCUCUUGGGACUUCAUAAUAAUGAGGAGGUCCGUGUGCCCCCCGAUUUGCCCUACGACGGGCAGCAACCUCAGCAGGAUGGGCUUCACACAGCCUGCAUGGCCAAGGCCCUCAUCUGACUGCCCUGGGACCUGUUAUGCUGCAGCACCGUGCCUCCCCUGCAGGUGACUGGACGGGCCUCCUGGGUUGGAGACCCAAGGGUGAUUGCAGUGUUCUGGGCUAGGGAAGAAAUUCAGCACCUGGCUUCUCACCCUGAGCUCAGGCCUGGAGUUUUUAUUUAAUUUUACCAGCUCAAAGGAUGGUGUUCAUCACUUGGCAAUAAGUGAGUAUGUGUGGUCGAGAAAAAAAGCGUAGCUUUCCGUGCAUCAUUAGAGGCCAUUCCGGAGAGAAGAGUGGAGAGCCGGGGCUGGUGUAUUUAGUCAUCAGCAAGUCAAGACGAGGAUUUUUUGAGACCGGAGGGAGGCAAGGGAGGCCUUAAAGAGGAGACUGUUUGUCCUUUGCUUUUUCUGGCUCAGGUCUCCUCGCUACAGCACCAAACAUCAAAAUGAAACACAGUUGACCUUUGGUUGUUAGGCCCCUCUUGAGAGCUCUGUAUGAGAUUUAUCACGUCAAGGGCCCUGCGGAGAUUCUGCGCAAACUCCUGUUAUCCACCUCUGCCUGGCACUCGUCUGUGAAACAUUAAUCAUGUGAGCUCCAAGACCCCACAGUGGGCAGGAAAUUCAACGAGCAACAGCCCUUAACUUAUUUGGCACCUCCUGCCCUUUGCAAGGGUCUCUCCCCGUGAUUCACCAGAAGAUGGAAGCCUGAAUCCCACCGCCCUUCCCCUCUCAGGGGUGCAGGGAGUUUCAGAUCAGAGGUUUUUAUAGAUAAUAUGGAAAAGUAGCAGGAAAAAAAGGGCAGAAUAGAGAAACAGUGAUAAAUGAAGAGGAAUUAACUUAGAAAACAAAGAACGAUUAACCUGUUAGAAGUGUGGACAUUCCAUUUUCAAAAUAAGGCCUUUUGCUUCCAAAGACUGAUUAGGAAUGGGUAGCCUUUUAACAAAUCAAGAUUGCAACCCUCCUCCAUCCAAAUAUUUUACAUUUCAAUAUUUUACAUCUCCAACAUUUGUAUGCUAGCUCAUCUCAU
rnacentral:lncRNA from 1 species